CGUGGGUAACCUGCCCAAGAGAUCGGGAUAACACCUGGAAACAGAUGCUAAUACCGGAUAACAACAGAUGAUGCCUAUCAACUGUUUAAAAGAUGGUUCUGCUAUCACUCUUGGAUGGACCUGCGGUGCAUUAGCUAGUUGGUAGGGUAACGGCCUACCAAGGCGAUGAUGCAUAGCCGAGUUGAGAGACUGAUCGGCCACAUUGGGACUGAGACACGGCCCAAACUCCUACGAGGCAGCAGAC
rnacentral:rRNA from 1 species